AUGAACGCUGGCGGCGUGCCUAAUACAUGCAAGUCGAGCGAACAGACGAGGAGCUUGCUCCUCUGACGUUAGCGGCGGACGGGUGAGUAACACGUGGAUAACCUACCUAUAAGACUGGGAUAACUUCGGGAAACCGGAGCUAAUACCGGAUAAUAUAUUGAACCGCAUGGUUCAAUAGUGAAAGACGGUUUUGCUGUCACUUAUAGAUGGAUCCGCGCCGCAUUAGCUAGUUGGUAAGGUAACGGCUUACCAAGGCAACGAUGCGUAGCCGACCUGAGAGGGUGAUCGGCCACACUGGAACUGAGACACGGUCCAGACUCCUACGGGAGGCAGCAGUAGGGAAUCUUCCGCAAUGGGCGAAAGCCUGACGGAGCAACGCCGCGUGAGUGAUGAAGGUCUUCGGAUCGUAAAACUCUGUUAUUAGGGAAGAACAAAUGUGUAAGUAAGUAUGCACGUCUUGACGGUACCUAAUCAGAAAGCCACGGCUAACUACGUG
rnacentral:rRNA from 1 species